UUGAAUAAAUCUAAAAUAUUUGGAAUUUAAUUUCGACUUAAAUGUAUGAUUUGAUAAAAAUCUAUUCAAA
rnacentral:tRNA from 1 species